UACGGGGGGAGCAAGCGUUGUUCGGAUUUACUGGGCGUAAAGGGCGCGUAGGCGGUCAGCACAAGUCAGUUGUGAAAUCUCCGGGCUUAACCCGGAAAGGUCAACUGAUACUGUGCGACUAGAGUGCGGAAGGGGCAACUGGAAUUCCCAGUGUAGCGGUGAAAUGCGUAGAUAUUGGGAGGAACACCGGUGGCGAAGGCGGCCCUCUGGACCGGUACUGACGCUGAUGCGCGAAAGCGUGGGUAGCAAACGGG
rnacentral:rRNA from 1 species